CCUACGGGAGACAGCAGUGGGGAAUAUUGCGCAAUGGGCGAAAGCCUGACGCAGCGACGCCGCGUGAGGGAUGAAGGUCUUCGGAUCGUAAACCUCUGUCAGCAGGGAAGAACGGUCACGGGGCUAAGCAGCAGUGAAUUGACGGUACCUGCAAAGGAAGCACCGGCUAACUCCGUGCCAGCAGCCGCGGUAAUACGGAGGGUGUGAGCGUUAAUCGGAAUUACUGGGCGGAAAGCGCUCGUAGGCGGUAUGUCAAGUCAAGGGUGAAAUCCCCGCGCUCAACGUGGGAACUGCCUUUGAAACUGGCAAACUGGCUUGUGUGCGAGGCUAGUGGACUUCCAGGUGUAGG
rnacentral:rRNA from 1 species